UUUCAACACCUCCAUUUAGUGAAAGCAAGAUAAUGCACCGAUUCAAGACCAUUCCAUCUCUUGAUCAGACACUGAUGGGUCACUAUGGAGUCAAUACAGUCAGGACCAGAGGAAUUUGCCUCUUCCCACUAGUUCUAAUCAGUGGUUAGCCUGGAAGCAAUGGCAUCUGGGUGUCACAGAUGUGACCAAGAAGGAACAGUUCAGUGAAUGCAUACUGAAUUGAUACGGAACACGAUAUCCCUUCGAACCGCACCAGUGAAGCGCUUUUGGCAAGAAGCAACCCCUACAGGAGCUGUGGCACCGGGAUUUCAGCAGUUACAUGGCCAGAGAAACUGACUGAGGGGCUGACAACCCUGCAGUAACAUAUGUGCUGUGCGGCAAAAGCCAGAGCAAUAAUGAGACUGUGCAACCCGUCCAUAGAAAAACAGCUUUCAUCUGAAGAAUUCUCUUGGGAACCCCUUGCAGUACCCAUUAAAGUACAAAGAAACCUCUUCAAGCCAGAUGCCUCCUCCAGUCUUGUGCACCCAGUCCCAAGAGCACAGCCUGACUUUCAUCUUACUGAGCUCUAUCCAACAAUAAACACUGCAACAGCCUGUACCUCGUCUUCUAUUGAAGGCUCAGAGAAAUGAAGCUCUUUCUUCCAGGAAAUUUUACAUCUCCUCCAGCACUGGAUGAAAACACUGCUGGAUGCUGGCCAAGCUCUGACAGUGUUCAAAGGCCUGGGACUUCUCACAGCUGGGGGUUAAAGAGUUGCUCACAAAGCCAGCCAUCCUACUGCCUCUCACACAAAUGCACCAGCAGACCCCUCUCAUCCUGGCAGAUGGAGUGCUUUGCACCACACUUUGAAAUGAGCAGAGUGACAUCCUUCAGAUGAAAAGAGAGUGGGUGAAUCUAAACAUAAUUAGAAUAUGUCCUAAAGUCCUUGAAGAAACAUUUGCACUGGCUGUCAGCCCAGAUCCCACGUGAUGCACAUGGCACUGGAAUAGGCUGGAACAUGCUGCAGCAUUACAAAACAGCAGGUCUUCAUUAGUGUGGAAUCUUCCCUGUCUCCAGAACUGUACACAUUGCACCCAAACAGUUUAAAUAAAGCAGAAUUACAAUGAUGCAUAAAGGGAGUGCCACGGAGGUCAUCUCGUUGGAUAUUAGUAAUUGAUACAUCACCUCUCACUAUCUUACUCUCAAAAUUAUUAAAGUUGCCUUGGAUACAGACAGAAUCUUGGCAACAGAAAUGGGGUAAGAGACACUACUGAAAUAACAAUGUAAAAUGAAACCAAGGAGUACCAUGAAGAGUUUCUACAAAGAUAGAUGGGAAUAAUUACUACGCUUGGUUUGAUUUAAAAUAUUCUUUGAUGAAGAAGUGAGAAUUAAAAGUGUGCUCAUGAAAACUGCAGUGGGAGAAUGAUGUAAAAAUCACCAGACCUAGAGAAAUGCUGCAAUGAGAUUAACUGUAGUUUCUUACCUUUAGUCAGUGCUGGACUCCAGUGUUGCAGACAAACCGGAGGAAGAGGCAAACACCAAGAGUGAAUUCAGCUGGGGAAACAUGCAGAGCAGCAUACCUGAGAAAAACAAUUCAAACCACAAGAAUUCAGUGCACAAGGACACACAGCAAACAGCAGUCUUAGAAGUGUUGUGGAAAUAUCGUGUUAAGACAGAAAUUAGUGACACAACAUAGCAGGGAAAAAUAAUAAAGCCCUGCUAGGCUGUAUUACAAAGAGGCAUUGCACCAGAAGGGGAUGAGGUGCCUCCAGCUUCUCUCUCCACCCCACUGGAGAGAAAAAGUAAUGUUUUGUUCUGGACAUCUUGUCAUAAAGGGGCCAAAAAAACCCCUUGAAACUUAGACAAGUGUCCAGAGAAGAUGCUGAUAUCAAAAAAUUUUGAACUCUAGGAACCAGGUUAAAGGAUUGAAAAUUGCAUGGCAAGAUAUUUCUAGGACUGCGUUGCAGUCAUGCCCAGGUCCUCUGCACAUUUCAGGGAAGACAGCUCAGCUGAAAGAAUGUUUCUCUAAUUAUUAAGGGCCUGACUGUGCAAUUGCAUUUUUGAAAACAUCAGUGAUUUCUGUGCUCUCAGCAAAUGGUACCUCUCUGGUCAUUUCAUAGCCACACUAAUCAAGAAAAAUUGGUGUUAAACCUCUCACUACAGUACAUGCUACAUUGACAGCCACCAUUACUAAAUCUAUCAGCUCUCUUGUGCACAUUCUUUAUCUAUUCCACCAUUUCACUCUGCAUAUGAGUUUGAAAUGUAUCAAAGAAGAAAACACAGGAAACUAGUUAGUAACAAAACAGGGGAGCAACCACUGGAAACACCCACCUCUACCUUUCUGGAUGAUGGGAAAAUUUCAGGAAGUGGCAUGGGUAGAAGUGAAACUUCUCAUGCUUUCCCAUAAUGGAUGGGAGCUGCCAUAUCUGACUGUAACACCACACUCAGCUAUGCUGGUUUUAGCACUAGAAGCAGAUGACAGUAUGAGGCUGCCAAGCUCAGGAUGGUUCAUGAGAGACAUACUUGUGCCUUCUUCACAGGUCUCUGAGCCAAAGAGAAUCAACCAUUCCUCUCACCCACAGGCACACAUAAGCCAAAAAUGCAGUUUUCCUAUCAUGUGCAUACCUCUGAGAGUCUGAGGAGAAGACACAAAAAUCAUAGUCUUGAAGUAUCCACCUGAAAGCACACUAAGGGCAUUUGACUUCCUAGUGUACUUAAAACAGGUUCUGGGAACAUUUGUGGAAAAAAUCAUUAAGCUACCUCACUCUCUGGAGUUUUCUCAGCAACAAAUGGGGGACAAUUCACUGGCCCAGAAUUUUAAAUGGGAAGAAAAAAACUGCAAACCUCAACAAGAAUGACUUUUAAAUGACUGCUCAGGCUGAUGAAGCACGCCACUUGGUACAAACCCUGCAGAAUGAAGUUACACGUACCUUGUCUUCUCAGGCACAUACAUACAUUGGUGUAUCUACUCCUACCUCUGUUUAUCAGUCACAGACACAAAUGCCCAAUGCAACGUUCAUACAACUGCAGUGGGAGACAGCACUUUAAUGUCUUCGAGUAGCUAGCUUAAGAUUAUCAUCUCCAGCUAACAAUGGUCAUUGUUUUAACAAAUGAUUUGUUUUUUAAGACAUACAGUGUGUCACUAACUCUAGUGAAAGUGUUAGAGCCCUCCACACUGUUUUUUCUUGUAACCUUUUCACUUAUCCCUAGUUUAUCCUCAAUGGUACAUCUAGCAGCCAGUGCAGCAUUUGCAAGCUCUGUGCUUUACAAUCUAGGAAUUCCACUUGGGUAAAUGCAUUCUAUACAAACUUAUUGCAAAAUUAAGCAUCAUCUCUAUAUUAAAACCACUUGGAAAAAAAAACCAACAACAAAACCAAACAAAAAAGUCCAAAAAACCCAGAAAUCAACUGGGUAGCAAAAGUACUAAGCAGAGACAGGUUGCUUACAUAAACUGAAAAAAACCCCUAACCCUCUACUAGGACUUCUACCAUCUAAGAAAGGAAAGAAACUCUUCCCUCAUUAAUACUUGAGGUGAAAAAAAUUUCCAAAGUGGGACAGUGUUGAAUACUUCAGAUUAAAUAAAACAGUGGAAUGUAUUAAUGACUAUUUUUAAACUUUAAGAACGUUUCAAAACAGAAGCUGUUCUAAAAUAAGAACUUUUCUUUUGUUCAGAGUGUCAAACUGGAAAGCUUCCAAAGCCCUUCCAAACAGUCACACAAGCAAUUCUGCUGGGAAGACAUCCUCUAUCGCACCUAACCAGUCUUCUGCUAAGGAGACUAUACAGGACACCUCCUGGGGACCACAAGGGAUUGUCCGUGGGGCUUCCACCCCCACACCAGCCUCCUUGGCCUGUGCCUCAUCUUGAGGGGUGCUCCUCUCCAUGGUACCUGAAGUCAACGCUGUGAGAAGGAAAGUGGAAGGAAACCUCUUCCUCAUCCCUUAGUGCAGACAAGGGCCAGCCAGCACCUCCAGAGCCUGCAAGGGCAGAUCACAUGCACAGGACUCAAAUGAUGGUCCCAGUACCUCAGUGAGCAAGGCACCCUGGGGAGUAAUUAGAUCUGAUGAUAAUAUAAUAGUCAAUGGUUUGUCUAACGUAUCUUUCCAUGUCAUGUUGAACCAAGGGGCUGCUCGAAAGAAGAGGAAUGGCAAACACCAAUUAUCCAUAAGCAAAACUUUACAGAGAAGCAAAUAUUA